GUGAGGAAUAUUGGUCAAUGGGCGGGAGCCUGAACCAGCCAAGUCGCGUGAAGGAAGAAGGAUCUAUGGUUCGUAAACUUCUUUUGCAGGGAAUAAAGUGCAGGACGUGUCCUGUUUUGUAUGUACCCUGAGAAUAAGGAUCGGCUAACUCCGUGCCAGCAGCCGCGGUAAUACGGAGGAUCCGAGCGUUAUCCGGAUUUAUUGGGUUUAAAGGGUGCGUAGGUGGUUUGAUAAGUCAGCGGUGAAAGUUUGCAGCUUAACUGUAAAAAUGCCGUUGAAACUGUCGGACUUGAGUGUAAAUGAGGUAGGCGGAAUGCGUGGUGUAGCGGUGAAAUGCAUAGAUAUCACGCAGAACUCCGAUUGCGAAGGCAGCUUACUAAGCUACAACUGACACUGAAGCACGAAAGCGUGGGGAUCAAACAGGAUUAGAUACCCGGGUAGUCC
rnacentral:rRNA from 1 species